UGUAAUGGUUUCACAAGUGCAUGUGUAUA
rnacentral:piRNA from 1 species